rnacentral:rRNA from 1 species
GAUGAACGCUGGCGGCGUGCUUAACACAUGCAAGUCGAACGAUGAAGCCCAGCUUGCUGGGUGGAUUAGUGGCGAACGGGUGAGUAACACGUGAGUAACCUGCCCUUAACUCUGGGAUACGCCUGGGAAACUGGGUCUAAUACCGGAUAGGAGCGCCUACCGCAUGGUGGGUGUUGGAAAGAUUUAUCGGUUUUGGAUGGACUCGCGGCCUAUCAGCUUGUUGGUGAGGUAAUGGCUCACCAAGGCGACGACGGGUAGCCGGCCUGAGAGGGUGACCGGCCACACUAGGACUGAGACACGGCCCAGACUGCUACGGUAGGCAGAAGUGGGGAAUAUUGUACAGUGGGCGAGAGCCUGAUGCAGAGACGCCGCGUGAGGGAUGCCGGCCUUCUGGUUGUAAACCUCUUUCAGUAGGGAAGAAGCGAAAGUGACGGUACCUGCAGAAGAAGCACCGGCUAACUACGUG